rnacentral:lncRNA from 1 species
GUUUAAAACAGCAUUAAAAUUUUUGUAAAUGCCAAUCGCAAUCUAAAACAAAAAAAUUAUUGUUAAAUCUAAUUUUACAAUAAUAAUUAAAAAUAGUUGGGCAGAUAAUUGCCAUGGAAGCAUGCUGUGCUUCUAUUCUGGAAAUUCCAGAUUCAAUUCCCAGGUCUCACACUGGGGUUUAUUCAGGAGUGGUUCAGGCCCAGCUCAUUGAACCCCAUCCUCCAUCUGAUGGCGAUCUCACCAGGAUCAGCCUAUGGUGGAGGAUGGGGCCCGUAGUGGAUAUUCUAUUGUUCAUCGUGGACCGCCACAUUUUGUCAUUCAGUUUAAACCAG